AUUGAACGCUGGCGGCAUGCCUUACACAUGCAAGUCGAACGGCAGCACGGGUGCUUGCACCUGGUGGCGAGUGGCGAACGGGUGAGUAAUACAUCGGAACAUGUCCUGUAGUGGGGGAUAGCCCGGCGAAAGCCGGAUUAAUACCGCAUACGAUCUACGGAUGAAAGCGGGGGACCUUCGGGGCUCGCGCUAUAGGGUUGGCCGAUGGCUGAUUAGCUAGUUGGUGGGGUAAAGGCCUACCAAGGCGACGAUCAGUAGCUGGUCUGAGAGGACGACCAGCCACACUGGGACUGAGACACGGCCCAGACUCCUACGGGAGGCAGCAGUGGGGAAUUUUGGACAAUGGGCGAAAGCCUGAUCCAGCAAUGCCGCGUGUGUGAAGAAGGCCUUCGGGUUGUAAAGCACUUUUGUCCGGAAAGAAAUCCUUGGCCCUAAUACGGUCGGGGGAUGACGGUACCGGAAGAAUAAGCACCGGCUAACUACGUG
rnacentral:rRNA from 1 species